GCAGUUGUUUUCCAAGCACUCAGUAUAAAGAGAAGUCCUCUCUCAAGUGCGUUUCUAAAAGCAGCUGUUGUUUUCUGAGGGCUGGUGGGUUUUUGGACACAUUGUUUGAGGAAGUUUCAUAGAAAAAAGGAACCCUACAGGGCAUGAAGUUGCUGCAUCAUUUACUGGAUAGAAUCACCAUGAACCCUCACUGUCCACAACAGCCAGGGGCCUGGGCAGCACCAUGCUACAACCCAGUUCCACCACCACCAGCUGCCUGCUAUCCACCAGUGGCUCCUGGGCCUUAUGCAGGGUAUCCACAAGCAGGUUAUGUACCCUUUAAUCAGCCUCAUCAUCAUGGCCAUCAUCAUGGGCCUUUUCACCAUCAUGGUCAUCAUCAUCAUCAUGGGCCUUUUCACCAUCAUGGUCACCAUCACCAUGGGCCUUUUCACCAUCAUGGUCACCAUGGCAAACACUGCUAGAGGAGACAAAAAUAGAGCAAGCAAUUCAGAAGCAUUGUCUGCAGUGGCUCGCCGCAGAGUGGAUGAAGAAUUAAAACCUUGUUGUCACUUUUUUUCUAAAUUCCUUUUACUGUAACAAAUAAUACUGUUAAUCUUUUUUUAUUUACAAGAAGUAAAUCUAAAGCAGAAGUCUUAGCACCUUUUUAAUAAUGUUUUAACAUAUAACAUUUUGUAUAUGUUUGUAUCACAUUUUGUAGGUUUUUUUUUUUCAAGAGUUGUUUUGUAUAUGAACCUAUUUUCUGUCUU
rnacentral:lncRNA from 1 species